GACGAACGCUGGCGGCGUGCUUAACACAUGCAAGUCGAGCGGAAAGGCCCCUUCGGGGGUACUCGAGCGGCGAACGGGUGAGUAACACGUGAGCAACCUGCCCUCGACUCUGGGAUAAGCCUGGAAAACCGGGUCUAAUACCGGAUACGACCUGCUCCCGCAUGGGGGCGGGUGGAAAGGUGCCCUGUUUGGGGUUUCCGGUCGGGGAUGGGCUCGCGGCCUAUCAGCUUGUUGGUGGGGUAACGGCCUACCAAGGCGACGACGGGUAGCCGGCCUGAGAGGGCGACCGGCCACACUGGGACUGAGACACGGCCCAGACUCCUACGGGAGGCAGCAGUGGGGAAUAUUGCGCAAUGGGCGGAAGCCUGACGCAGCGACGCCGCGUGGGGGAUGAAGGCCUUCGGGUUGUAAACCUCUUUCGGCAGGGACGAAGGUGACGUGUACCUGCGGAAGAAGCGCCGGCUAACUACGUG
rnacentral:rRNA from 1 species